rnacentral:rRNA from 1 species
GAUGAACGCUAGCUACAGGCUUAACACAUGCAAGUCGAGGGGCAGCACAAGGCAGCAAGUGCGUGAGGUGGCGACCGGCGCACGGGUGCGUAACGCGUAUCCAACCUUCCCGUUACUCAUGGAUAGCCUUCCGAAAGGGAGAUUAAUACAUGAUGGUGUUGAAAUUCCGCAUGUUAUUCAACUAAAGAUUUAUCGGUAACGGAUGGGGAUGCGUGACAUUAGAUAGAUGGCGGGGUAACGGCCCACCAUGUCCACGAUGUCUAGGGGUUCUGAGAGGAAGGUCCCCACACUGGAACUGAGACACGGUCCAGACUCCUACGGGAGGCAGCAGUGAGGAAUAUUGGUCAAUGGCCGGAAGGCUGAACCAGCCAAGUAGCGUGAAGGAUGAAGGUUCAUGGAUGUAAACUCUUUANGAGG